rnacentral:rRNA from 1 species
UACAGAGGGUGCAAGCGUUAAUCGGAUUUACUGGGCGUAAAGCGAGUGUAGGUGGUUUGCUAAGUCAGGUGUGAAAUCCCAGGGCUCAACCCUGGAACUGCAUUUGAUACUGGCAGGCUAGAGUGUGGUAGAGGAUAGCGGAAUUCCCGGUGUAGCGGUGAAAUGCGUAGAUAUCGGGAGGAACAUCAGUGGCGAAGGCGGCUAUCUGGACUAACACUGACACUGAGACUCGAAAGCGUGGGGAGCAAACAGG